UACGAAGGGGGCUAGCGUUGCUCGGAAUCACUGGGCGUAAAGCGCACGUAGGCGGCUUUCUAAGUCAGGGGUGAAAUCCUGGAGCUCAACUCCAGAACUGCCUUCGAUACUGGCGAUCUUGAGUCCGGGAGAGGUGAGUGGAACUCCGAGUGUAGAGGUGAAAUUCGUAGAUAUUCGGAAGAACACCAGUGGCGAAGGCGGCUCACUGGCCCGGUACUGACGCUGAGGUGCGAAAGCGUGGGGAGCAAACAGG
rnacentral:rRNA from 1 species